AGGAGGGAGGGCUGGGCUCCUGGGAGAAAGCGGAAUAUGGGGGUCCCAUACCCCUUAUUUCUAAAAGACCCUCCUCUCCCAAAGCCAAGACCCUCAACAAAGCUCAAAUUUCCAGGAAGCCUGCUAUUCGGAGACUGCAGAAGAAAAGUAACUGUCUCUCUCCCGGAUACCAGCAGCUUCGUGUUUGUUUUCCAAUGAGGACAAGCGACAGAGGUGAAUAUUUACUUACCAAAGCAGACCUGGCUCCAUGUUGGGAACAGCAUCUGUCCCAACCAGGCAUACCCUGAUCUCAACUUCCCAGCCCAGGGGCUGAGCUGCCCUUUCCCCCAGAGGUUCCUCCCUAUAUAAUCUAGAAGUUUUGGUCACUCUUGCUUGCUCUUUUUCUCUUCCUUUAUCUGAGUGCACCCCCCCCCCCCCCAUGGGGACUUUCCUGGCCUCAGUCCUCGGAGCUAGUGAACUCGCCCACAGGAGAGCAGCUUCUCCGUAAACCUGCCUUUAAUCUAAUCUAACUUGAAUUGGCUCCUUUCCGUGGUGGCAGAGAAAUAACCUAUCACAGCUACCUUCCCCGUUCUGCCUCUAACAAAAUCCCCCUCACCCUCCCCCACCCGUAACUACAAAACUCCAGUUUAAAGCCUGUAAUCUGCACCAGUCUACUCCUGUUUUUUAUAUCUUUGUAGGCAAGCCCUAACUCACCUUAAUGACUUGGAAAUGUAGAAGGAAUGGCAAUUUGAGUGUAGUAGUAUCUCGACUGCAUUUGGGCACUAAGGUCUAUGCAUCUCUAAGGUGGUCAGGGCAAGUGGAAAGUCUGCGGUAAUGUCCAGCAGAGUAGGAAAACAGUGAAGCCCAAGAUGGAGCAGGGUCCUAGGUCCUUGUCAGGCCAGCAAGCAGCAAGUUAUGGAGAAGAACAUGGACAAGUUAGGGGUUGUUGGGGGAUUCUUCUACAACCCAAACAGUAGCUGAGACACAGCUACAAGUGCUUCAAAUGUGACCAGUGCCACUGAAGACCAAGUGUCUAAUUACAUUUCAUUGAAAUAGCCACAUGAGUGCUAGGAUCCCACUUACUGGAUAGCACAACUCUGGGAAGAGCUUUGGGCACUUCUUUGAGGCCUCUAGAAGAGUCCAUAGUCUAAAUUAAAGGCUAUCACAUUAGGCUGGCCUGCUCACAUUCCAAGAUUUUGGAUUUUUGUUUGUUUGUUUUUCCUUUUAGAUAAUUAAGUAUAAAAAUAAUUAUAUCUGGAUUGGGACACUUUUAUUUAGUAAAGGAUAGCAAAGGAUCAUAAAGCCUAAAUAAAUCAUCUUGAUUAGGUAA
rnacentral:lncRNA from 1 species